UGCAACCUAUGAUGCAAAAUACCCAAAUUCCUGAUUUCUUGUGAUUAUAUAAUCAAUUAUCACCAUCUUUCGGCUGAGGUUGCA
rfam:Cucumis melo, WGS project CAJI01000000 data, contig: 00417